rnacentral:rRNA from 1 species
CGCAUCUGUGCAUGCAGCAUAUCAAUAAGCGGAGGAAAAGAAACUAACAAGGAUUCCCCUAGUAACGGCGAGUGAAGCGGGAAGAGCUCAAAUUUGAAAUCUUAAAGGGUUUCCCUUUACGAAUUGUAGUUUAAAGAAGUGUUUUCUGUUGAGGUUUUGGUAAAAGUUCUUUGGAAUAGGACAUCAUAGAGGGUGAGAAUCCCGUAUUUGACCUUUACUUUCAACUUUGUGAUACACUUUCAAAGAGUCGGAUUGUUUGGGAAUGCAGUCCAAAAUGGGUGGUAAAUUUCAUCUAAAGCUAAAUAUUGGCGAGAGGACCGAUAGCGAACAAGUACCGUGAGGGAAAGAUGAAAAGAACUUUGAAAAGAGAGUUAAACAGUACGUGAAAUUGUCAAAAGGGAAGCGUUUGACACCAGUGUCGUUUUUCUGAAAAUCAAUUAAAGAACUGUUUAUGCUAAGUUGUUUAGACUUUAUCAGCUAACUGUUUAGUUUUGAGCUUUUCUUUAAUGCACUUUUCAGUUAACAAGUCAACAUCAAUUUCUUUUGCUGUAAAAAAGCUUGAGGAAGGUGGCUUGAGAUUCGUCUUAAGUGUUUAUAGCCUCUUGCCUAUGCAGUCGGAGAGAUUGAGGUCUGCAGCGUAGAUCCUUCGGGGCUAAAUGCAUUUGUGCUAAGUUAUAGCAUUUUAUAGACAACUUGUUGACUAUGAUUUGUCUUGUAGCUUACUCGCUUAUGUUAUUUUACCUACGCUUAGGAUGUUGAACGCGCACAGAGUCUC